rnacentral:rRNA from 1 species
GACGAACGCUGGCGGCGUGCUUAACACAUGCAAGUCGAACGGAAAGGCCCUGCUUUUGUGGGGUGCUCGAGUGGCGAACGGGUGAGUAACACGUGAGUAACCUGCCCUUGACUUUGGGAUAACUUCAGGAAACUGGGGCUAAUACCGGAUAGGAGCUCCUGCUGCAUGGUGGGGGUUGGAAAGUUUCGGCGGUUGGGGAUGGACUCGCGGCUUAUCAGCUUGUUGGUGGGGUAGUGGCUUACCAAGGCUUUGACGGGUAGCCGGCCUGAGAGGGUGACCGGCAACAUUGGGACUGAGAUACGGCCCAGACUCCUACGGGAGGCAGCAGUGGGGAAUAUUGCACAAUGGGCGGAAGCAUGAUGCAGAAACGCCGCGUGCGGGAUGACGGCCUUCGGGUUGUAAACCGCUUUCGCCUGUGACGAAGAGUGAGUGACGGUAAUGGGUAAAGAAGCACCGGCUAACUACGUG